rnacentral:rRNA from 1 species
UAGGGAAUCUUCGGCAAUGGACGGAAAGUCUGACCGAGCAACGCCGCGUGAGUGAAGAAGGUUUUCGAAUCGUAAAACUCUGUUGGUAGAGAAGAACGUUGGUGAGAGUGGAAAGCUCAUCAAGUGACGGUAACUACCCAGAAAGGGACGGCUAACUACUUGCCAG